rnacentral:rRNA from 1 species
ACCUUUCUCGCAUCCUAGACUUAAUUGAUCCUGCUCAAGCCAGGCNUUAUGUAUGCCUAACACAUGCAAGUCGAACGUGCAGCACAUGAGAGCUUGCUCUCUGGGUGGCGAGUGGCGUGACGUGGUGAGUGAAUACAUCGGAAUCUACUCUGUCGUGGUGGUGAUAACGUAGUGGAAACUUACGCUAAUACCGCAUACGACCUACGUGGUGAAAGCAGUGGGACCUUCGGUGCCUUGCGCUGAUUUGAAAUUGAAGCCUUGCCCUGAAAAUUCAGUCUGCCAUAGUGUGCCCUGAAAUNAAUAAUUCACAAGCACUAAAAAUCACAUCAUGAUAAUGAGAUCAUNGANAUAUGCCAGAAGUUAUUUAUUACNGUUAAANUGUUUACCAACAUAACAGGUUAUUAUUCACAAUAACAUACUAAACAACCAAUGUAAGAAUAUCACAUGAAUAUAUGGUAAUUUAAUAAUACCACACAAAAAGGAUCUAAGCAAAAACAAUCCAUGACAAACAUACAUAAGUAAUGAAUAGCAAAAUGCAUCUAACUAAUNGUUAAGCAUAUGCUCAUUAGAUAUCCAUUAAUCUUAUUAGCCAAUUAGUU